UACGUAGGGUGCAAGCGUUGUCCGGAAUUAUUGGGCGUAAAGAGCUCGUAGGCGGUCUGUCGCGUCUGCUGUGAAAACUCGGGGCUUAACCCCGGCGUCAGUGGGUACGGGCAGACUAGAGUGUGGUAGGGGAGACUGGAAUUCCUGGUGUAGCGGUGAAAUGCGCAGAUAUCAGGAGGAACACCGAUGGCGAAGGCAGGCCUCUGGGCCACUACUGACGCUGAGAAGCGAAAGCAUGGGGAGCGAACAGG
rnacentral:rRNA from 1 species